UGGGGAAUAUUGGACAAUGGGCGCAAGCCUGAUCCAGCCAUGCCGCGUGGGUGAUGAAGGCCCUAGGGUUGUAAAGCCCUUUCGGCGGGGAAGAUAAUGACGGUACCCGCAGAAGAAGCCCCGGCUAACUUCGUGCCAGCAGCCGCGGUAAUACGAAGGGGGCUAGCGUUGCUCGGAAUCACUGGGCGUAAAGCGCACGUAGGCGGCUUGUUAAGUCAGGGGUGAAAUCCUGGAGCUCAACUCCAGAACUGCCUUUGAUACUGGCAAGCUUGAGUUCGGGAGAGGUGAGUGGAACUGCGAGUGUAGAGGUGAAAUUCGUAGAUAUUCGCAAGAACACCAGUGGCGAAGGCGGCUCACUGGCCCGAUACUGACGCUGAGGUGCGAAAGCGUGGGGAGCAAACA
rnacentral:rRNA from 1 species